UGCACUGCAGAUUCUGGACUGAUAUUGUGUAUGCGAGAGCAAUCAGCUCUUCUUUACUGCCGGACACAGUCCUGGAGGUCACAGGCGGUCAAUGGCGAAUGUAAAAACACUUUAAGCCCUCAACUUCAGAUUAAACUGAUCUAAAUCAUCGGAAUCCAUAUGCUUUGUGCUAUUUUGAGCUGUUGUGUUGUAACCAAGAUCCCACAAUGCAACGGGUGAGUCAAGAUGUGCAAAUCACUCUAUGGUAGCCGAGUUUCUUCAUAGGCACUAAUUUUUCCUGGGUGUUUUUCCUGU